UACGUAGGGUGCAAGCGUUGUCCGGAAUUAUUGGGCGUAAAGAGCUCGUAGGCGGUUCGUCGCAUCGGCUGUGAAAACCCGGGAGCUCAACUCCGGGCCUGCAGUCGAUACGGGCGGACUUGAGUGUUGCAGGGGAGACUGGAAUUCCUGGUGUAGCGGUGAAAUGCGCAGAUAUCAGGAGGAACACCGGUGGCGAAGGCGGGUCUCUGGGCAACUACUGACGCUGAGGAGCGAAAGCGUGGGGAGCGAACAGG
rnacentral:rRNA from 1 species